GGCACUUUGGCGGAGUGGUUAACGCGAUGCCCUGCUAAGGCAUUUCCUUCGGGAGCGAGUGUUCGAAUCACUCAGGUGUCG
rnacentral:tRNA from 7 species